rnacentral:rRNA from 1 species
AUUGAACGCUGGCGGCAUGCUUUACACAUGCAAGUCGAACGGUAACAGGCCGCAAGGUGCUGACGAGUGGCGAACGGGUGAGUAAUGCAUCGGAACGUGCCCAGUCGUGGGGGAUAACGCAGCGAAAGCUGCGCUAAUACCGCAUACGAUCUAUGGAUGAAAGCGGGGGACCGUAAGGCCUCGCGCGAUUGGAGCGGCCGAUGUCAGAUUAGGUAGUUGGUGGGGUAAAGGCUCACCAAGCCAACGAUCUGUAGCUGGUCUGAGAGGACGACCAGCCACACUGGGCCUGAGACACGGCCCAGACUCCUACGGGAGGCAGCAGUGGGGAAUUUUGGACAAUGGGCGCAAGCCUGAUCCAGCAAUGCCGCGUGCAGGAAGAAGGCCUUCGGGUUGUAAACUGCUUUUGUACGGAACGAAACGGCUCUGGUUAAUACCUGGGGCUAAUGACGGUACCGUAAGAAUAAGCACCGGCUAACUACGUGCCAGCAGCCGCCGCAGUAA